UGGGGAAUAUUGCACAAUGGGCGCAAGCCUGAUGCAGCCAUGCCGCGUGUGUGAAGAAGGCCUUCGGGUUGUAAAGCACUUUCAGCGAGGAGGAAGGGUAGUGUGUUAAUAGCACAUUGCAUUAACGUUACUCGCAGAAGAAGCACCGGCUAACUCCGUGCCAGCAGCCGCGGUAAUACGGAGGGUGCAAGCGUUAAUCGGAAUUACUGGGCGUAAAGCGCACGCAGGCGGUUUGUUAAGUCAGAUGUGAAAUCCCCGCGCUUAACGUGGGAACUGCAUUUGAAACUGGCAAGCUAGAGUCUUGUAGAGGGGGGUAGAAUUCCAGGUGUAGCGGUGAAAUGCGUAGAGAUCUGGAGGAAUACCGGUGGCGAAGGCGGCCCCCUGGACAAAGACUGACGCUCAGGUGCGAAAGCGUGGGGAGCAAACA
rnacentral:rRNA from 1 species